rnacentral:rRNA from 1 species
AACGCGAAGAACCUUACCUGGGCUCGAAAUGUAGUGGACCGGGGUAGAAAUAUCCCUUUCUAGCAAUAGACUGCUAUAUAGGUGCUGCAUGGCUGUCGUCAGCUCGUGUCGUGAGAUGUUGGGUUAAGUCCCGCAACGAGCGCAACCCUUAUCUUCAGUUGCUACCAUUUAGUUGAGCACUCUGACGAAACCGCCUCGGAUAACGGGGAGGAAGGUGGGGAUGACGUCAAGUCCUCAUGGCCUUUAUGUCCAGGGCUACACACGUGCUACAAUGGCCGGUACAAACCGCUGCAAACCCGCGAGGGGGAGCUAAUCGGAAAAAGCCGGCCUCAGUUCGGAUUGGAGUCUGCAACUCGACUCCAUGAAGCUGGAAUCGCUAGUAAUCGUGGAUCAGCAUGCCACGGUGAAUACGUUCCCGGGCCUUGUACACACCGAGACGUA